rnacentral:rRNA from 1 species
AGCGAACGCUGGCGGCAGGCUUAACACAUGCAAGUCGAACGGGCACUUCGGUGCUAGUGGCAGACGGGUGAGUAACACGUGGGAACGUACCUUUCGGUUCGGAAUAAUUCAGGGAAACUUGGACUAAUACCGGCUACGCCCUUCGGGGGAAAGAAUUAUCGCCGAAAGAUCGGCCCGCGUCUGAUUAGCUAGUUGGUGAGGUAAAGGCUCACCAAGGCGACGAUCAGUAGCUGGUCUGAGAGGAUGAUCAGCCACAUUGGGACUGAGACACGGCCCAAACUCCUACGGGAGGCAGCAGUGCGGAAUAUUGGACAAUGGGCGCAAGCCUGCUCCAGCCAUGCCGCGUGAGUGAUGAAGGCCUUAGGGUUGUAAAGCUCUUUUGUCCGGGAAGAUAAUGACUGUACCGGAAGAAUAAGCCCCGGCUAACUUCGUGCCAGCCGCCGCCGUAAUAC